rnacentral:lncRNA from 1 species
GCUGCAGUGAUGGUUGUAUUCAUUCAUUACAGUGAUGGUUGUACUCAUUCAUUACAGUGCAGGAUGGUUGUCUCAUUCAUUACAGUGAUGGUUGUCCUCAUUCAUACAGCGCAGGGAUGGUUGUUCUACUCAUCAUUAACGCUGCAGUGAUGGUUGUCUCAUUCUACAGCUGCAGUGAUGGUUGUCCUCAUUAUUCCCAGUGCAGUGAUGGUUGUACUCAUUCAUUACAGUGAUGGUUGUCCUCAUUCAUUACAGUGUGGUUUCCUCAUUCAUUACAGUGAUGGUUGUCCAUUCAUUACAGUGUGGUGUAUCAUUCAUUACAGUGAUGGUUGUAUUCAUUCAUUACAUUGAUGGUUGUACUCAUUCAUUACAGUGGUUGUACUCAUUCAUUACAGUGAUGGUUGUACUCAUUCAUUACAGUGGUUGUACUCAUUCAUUACAGUGACUG